GAAAAGAUGGCUCAGUAGCUAAGAGCAUUGGCUGCUCUUCCAGAGAAUCUAGGUUCAAUUCCUGGCAUCUUCA
rnacentral:tRNA from 1 species